CAGCCGCCGCGGGAAUACAGAGGGUGCGAGCGUUAAUCGGAUUUACUGGGCGUAAAGCGUGCGUAGGCGGCUUUUUAAGUCGGAUGUGAAAUCCCUGAGCUUAACUUAGGAAUUGCAUUCGAUACUGGGAAGCUAGAGUAUGGGAGAGGAUGGUAGAAUUCCAGGUGUAGCGGUGAAAUGCGUAGAGAUCUGGAGGAAUACCGAUAGCGAAGGCAGCCAUCUGGCCUAAUACUGACGCUGAGGUACGAAAGCAUGGGGAGCAAACAGGAUUAGAGACCCGCGUAGUCCCUGUCUCUUAUAC
rnacentral:rRNA from 1 species